rnacentral:tRNA from 1 species
AGUUAAAGUAGUUUAAAAUAAAACAUUGAUCUUGUAAAUCAAAAAUAAAUUAUUCUUUAAU